rnacentral:rRNA from 1 species
GAUGAACGCUGGCGGCGUGCUUAACACAUGCAAGUCGAACGGAAAGGCCCAAGCUUGCUUGGGUACUCGAGUGGCGAACGGGUGAGUAACACGUGGGUGAUCUGCCCUGCACUUCGGGAUAAGCCUGGGAAACUGGGUCUAAUACCGGAUAGGACCACUUCUUGGAUGUUGUGGUGGAAAGUUUUUUCGGUGUGGGAUGAGCUCGCGGCCUAUCAGCUUGUUGGUGUGGUAAUGGCCUACCAAGGCGUCGACGGGUAGCCGGCCUGAGAGGGUGUACGGCCACAUUGGGACUGAGAUACGGCCCAGACUCCUACGGGAGGCAGCAAUGGGGAAUAUUGCACAAUGGGCGCAAGCCUGAGGCAGCGACGCCGCGUGGGGGAUGACGGCCUUCGGGUUGUAAACUCCUUUCGCUAGGGACGAGGCGUUUUUGUGACGGUACCUGGAGAAGAAGCACCGGCUAACUACGUG